rnacentral:ncRNA from 1 species
UAAAUAGCUAUGAAAAAGACACGUCAGGUCACUGAAGCUAUAAAGAGAGCAGCAGUUUGGUGAGAAGCUGUAUAGGUCAAUGAUUUGGUAUCCCUUUUGAGCUGAUACUGGGAAAAGUAAAGUACAAGUAUCCGUAUUCUUGCGUUAAAAGAUUUGAGGGAUCAAGAAAAUUCUUUUCUUGGUAACUAAGGUGGUACCGCGUUUAUUACGUCCUUAGA